CAGCCGCCACGGUAAUACGUAGGGUGCAAGCGUUAAUCGGAAUUACUGGGCGUAAAGCGUGCGCAGGCGGUUAUAUAAGACAGAUGUGAAAUCCCCGGGCUCAACCUGGGAACUGCAUUUGUGACUGUAUAGCUAGAGUACGGCAGAGGGGGAUGGAAUUCCGCGUGUAGCAGUGAAAUGCGUAGAUAUGCGGAGGAACACCGAUGGCGAAGGCAAUCCCCUGGGCCUGUACUGACGCUCAUGCACGAAAGCGUGGGGAGCAAACAGGAUUAGAUACCCGUGUAGUCCCUGUCUCUUAUAC
rnacentral:rRNA from 1 species